rnacentral:rRNA from 1 species
UAUUGGUCAAUGGGCGGGAGCCUGAACCAGCCAAGCCGCGUGAGGGAAGAAGGUACAGCGUAUCGUAAACCUCUUUUGUCAGGGAACAAAGGCGGGGACUAGUCCCCGGAUGAGGGUACCUGAAGAAAAAGCAUCGGCUAACUCCGUGCCAGCAGCCGCGGUAAUACGGAGGAUGCGAGCGUUAUCCGGAUUUAUUGGGUUUAAAGGGUGCGCAGGCGGCCUGUUAAGUCAGCGGUAAAAGCCCGGGGCUCAACCCCGGCGAGCCGUUGAAACUGGCGGGCUGGAGUUGGAGAGAAGUACGCGGAAUGCGCGGUGUAGCGGUGAAAUGCGUAGAUAUUAGGAGGAACACCAGUGGCGAAGGCGGCUUUCUGGACAAUAACUGACGUUGAGGCACGAAAGUGUGGGGAGCA